AAGGAAAUGAACUAAAACAUUAGGGAUCCAAAGUGAUAUUUAUAUUCCAAACAACUGCAGAACAAGAAAAGCCAAACAGAAUCAAUGAACUGACUAAUUUCACUUUAUACAUCAUUUACUGCUGAAAAAAUUCCCUAUUUCCUAUGAGUUGGGGAUUGCCCCAUUGGUCACUAUCCUCACUUAGUAACUAGAGAUUUUAGGCUUGAUUCUUGCGUGGUGCAUUCCCAAAAAUCUGAACUUGGGUUAUUAUAGUAUAGGUUGGUCUCCCCCCUCUCGAGGGAAGAAAAAGACCAAUUCCCUAACUUAAUUCCAUUAAAAUGGAAAUAAAAAUGCAAUCUAGUUAUCCACAAGACUCCAUGGAAAAAAGAACAAUUCAAAGAAUCAGAUAUUUUCACAACAACAUGUAAAUAUAAUGUAAACAAUAAGAUUUUGCAUCUCAAGAGCUUAUGGCUUGCUGGCUGGAUGAUGAAACUGAUAGCAAAUUCUCCAGCACAAAGUUUCACUGAUGUUCUGAUACAGUGUAGGAAUUUUUAUAUAUAUUUGAAUGCUAUAAAUUUUCUCUAAAAUCAUAGCCAGCAAACAGCAUUCCUGGUUAUGGUGAAGAACCAGAAAACGAGAGUGUAAUUUGAUGCUUGAUACUCAUCUCUUGAGAAAAAACAUGCACAACCAACUAAAAAAAUGCGUAAGGGCUUAUAGCGGCAAAGAAAAAUGGUACAAGCUUUGAAAGCAUAAAAAACCUGAUUAAAAUGAAAGCAGAAUGGGCAGUAUAUCUAAGAAAAAGCAUAAGCACAAAAACAAAAAAGAAUUUCUUAUAGCCUUGAUUUUGUUGCCAAGCCUCCUCUGCCCUAGAACACCACAAUAUAAUUUCAUCAUUAUAAACAAAAACACCUUCUAAUCUAAUUUUCAUGCAGUUCAACAGGCAUUGAAGUUCAAAAGUGCUCUCUCCAAGAACAGUUAGUUAACCGAAAAAUAAGUAUGUCUCCUCAUUCACUUGCAAGACAGUGCCUCACCAAUUAGCGUCCUCUUCUUGAAGAAAUUUGAAAGAUAAAGGCGGUCAUAUUGCACGAAGGCAAUAAGACUUGAUAAAAAUUUAGUACCCAUACAAAUAAGAGAUACUGGUAUCUAGAGCACAUAUAAUCUAAAGGAUCACCUCUACAAAUUCUCUAUUCAAAGAAUAUACUCAUCUUAAUUCUCCUCUUGUAGAUAAUAUUUUACAUAGAGGGAGCAAGAGAACGACGUCGAUCAAAAGACUGUUAUCAACUCAAAUAAAAAGGGGAAAAAAGAAGAAUCACGACAACAAUAUAAUCUCAAAUAUACAGUCAGUUGAUAAACUAAUAGCCAUCCCUCAAGUACUCAUAUGUUUGAAUCAGUCAUGUAUAUCACAUGAGCCGAGCCAUAUUUCAGGAAAACAAGCAUGAUAUGGCUUUAGACAAUCAAGAUGUAAUUCGGCAAGCGCUUUGACUUUGAGUAUGUUGCUUCCAAAUAAUAGAACAUUAACUUAAGAUUCAAAAAUAUGCAACUGUAUGGACCUUCUGUCGGCAGCUAACUCUUAUAUAGAUUCAUCAAAUAUAAAACAACCUUGAGAAAAAUUUUUAAAAAACACUAAAAUAGGGACAAGAGGCAAAAGCUAAUAGGCUUGCCAUCUUCACUAAUGUCGCCAUCACAAUUGCCCAGAUCUGCUAAAUUCUUCUUCACCUGAACUUUCUCUAUUUCUUCCCCUUAUUUUUCAUUUUCCUCAUCAUGGCAGAUUUGAUAUUUUGCCAACGGGGUUUCAUCUGGCCUGUUGGCUUAUCAUUUGAGCUGUAAAUGCAAAAGAAAUUGUUCGUAUCAUAACUGGCAUUCUUCCCUCUUCAUCUAGACUCUUUCCAGGUCCAUGGAACCUCAAGGGCUGCUCUUCAGUUGGAUGUGCUUGAACAGUAUGACCAACAGGGUAAGCUAACGGCUAUAGCCAGUGUCAUUCCCUAAAUAAAAAGGUUAAAAAUAAAUUGGUUUCCGAAUUUCCUCUUACAAAGCAUUUUCUAGGUUAUAGACCUACAAGGGACAGGUCCCUGGAUUUAGCCACAUAUAAAAUACAAUCUCAUACUCUUGAAGCAAAAGUAUUUCAGGAACCAAAGGUCUAGGACUCAAAUUUUCUAAUAGAUCAGAAUUGCAAAUUACCAUAACUUACCUUUUUUCCCGGCUAGAUUGCAACAGUAACAUGUUGGGCCCAGACAUAUCAUAGACAACCCUAAGCGAAAUAUAACAUAAUUAACUUGUUGAUUUGUCAUUUUCAGUAAGGAUCUGAACAGUAUAUCUUUAUCUGGAAAAAUUAGACCACAUGGUAACUUGAACACUUGAAUGCCAUAGAUAUGUUAUUCCAUUCAGUAUUAAUGUUAUUAAAUCAACUUAAUAAAUAUUAUGUUUAAUCUGCCUUAGUUUGUAUGCAUGCACAUUCAUAUUCAUGUCUUGCACACCCUCCCACGCUAUUGGCCUCAUAAUAUUUCAUGCUUAGGAGGUCCAAUUUGUAACUCAGAUAUUGAUUAUUGCUUUAUUUUUCCUAAGAUUAAUUUUAAAUAUGUUCUCCUUAUCCCUCUCUUCCUUUCACUUUCUCCUUACCUUCUCUUCUCAAAAAACUACCGAUUCUUAUGGAGGCCCAAUUUUCCUUUUUUUCUUGUCCAUGGUAAAUUUUCAACCAUGUUCCUUGUUAAUGAAUCCCUCCAUGGUAAUAGCAACUUUCAGCAUCUACUUCAACUCAUUGCAACAAUAGCAUCAAAGUGAUUAAAGCAGGAAUCUCCUUUUCUUUCUCUUCCUUUAUUAAUUUUAGUCAUAUGAAACACCUACUUUAUCCCUCUUCUUGUUACAUUCUUCUUAUAAAAAAAAGAGUUCUUUAAAUUUAACCAAACCUCAAUUAAGAUAUAGAACAGAUUCAAAAAUAAUUUCAGCCCCAUAAUGAUAGAUAAGCCCUCCUACCAUAUGUAAGACCAAAUCCAAAGUUUUCCCAGAUCUCUGGCUUCGCUCCUACUCCUAUCCGCACCCCACAAUUUCUAGAAACACUCUAUACUAAAACCAGAGAGCCUUCUCAUACAUAUCAAAGGGCCAAAGAAGCACUCCUGAAUUUAAAAGGUCAAUGUCAAAACACUAUAAAUGCAUGUAAAAAUGUCCUUUAAAUGGAACCAAGAUGGGUAGCCUUAAUGCCUUAUCAUUUUUUUUUCAAUCAAGCAUGAAAUUCAUUAAGACAUCCAUGAACUUUAGAUACUUGGCAUCUGUAUCUGUCAACAUUUUCAAAUCUAGCAUAAAGCUUCUGAAGUCAUGAGCAAUAAGAUUAAAGGAAAUGAGAAAAACCUCGUAUGUAGUUUCUUCUACAAUUAACAGAAUUUCGCAUGAUAGAACCAUCAGUAUUUCAUGUUAGCAAGUAAAUUGAACAUGACUGUUGGUUGCCUGCAAUAAGUUCCAUUGAAUGCAAGUUCCAUUGACAACAACACCCUUUGGACUCUCUAAUGUCCAAGAUUAAUAGUUUGACUUAAGGACAAAAGUGCUGGUGUCGGCCACCAGGCAGCACAACACAUGUUGGAAUACCUGCCAGGCCAUAUCAAUUUGAAAACAAAAAAAAAUAAAAAGGGCUCACUACUCUUCUAUAAUUUUAUUUUCAAAAAAAAAUAAUUGGAUUUUUUUUACCGAAAAAAGAGGCUUCAUGCUCACCUAUGCUGCAUGCCCACAUUGGACAGGAAUGAUAUUUGCCAACUGUCAUGGGUUAGGACUUGAAACCUUAGUCUGAAUUUAGUAAUAAAUUUUUGCGAAGGUUGCCUAUUCUUCAUAGUAGUUUGUACUAAGCACCAUUAAGUAAACAAGCAUUCGUUCUGAUCUAUUUUUUUGAUUUUUUUGGGGGGGAUCACAAUCAUAGAAAAGGUAAAAGUGUGUUCUGUUACUUUUGUCAUGAAUGACAUGUUUGCUAAUUUAAUUAGAUCCUCAGCACAAAUAUCAAUUUUUAUAAGAACCUGGACAACACCAUAUUUCCUUAACACUAAGCACACAAGCAAGACAGACUUUGCAAGAAACAGAUGCAAGAAGUCUCCAUAAAUUAACGAAGCGACAAUUUAUUAGUCAUGCAUCCAUUUUUACUAAUUUAUUUAUGAAAUAAAGGUAUUCAUAGUCAUGAAAAAGUUCUUUUAAAACCUUAUCCCUUUUGCAUGCAUGUCACAUAGCCUUGCAAGUAACAUCAACUGAUCAUCAAUUCUACAACUGCUCAUCCAUGAUGUUCUUAGGCCCUGCUUGGUUCCUAAAACACUUAAGCCAAAUAUCUGAAAAACUUUACUCCAAAAAGCAUUUAUUCCUUGUUAACCCAGUAAAACUAUUCAACCCCUUCCUCCAAAUAUUGCUAACCCAGUUAAAGCUGAAUAAGUACCAAACAGGUGUCACUGAAAUCCCAAAAGCACCGCUCAGUAAUGAAGUUCUAUCUCAGUCUGUACAAAGUUGUUUGGCUGAAUAAACCAUACUGGAGCUGAAAAGGUGAACUUUAUUCAGGUUUAUCAUCAAAUAGGGCCCAAAGAUCGAAUAUGCAGUGCUAAUACAUGUUGCACUACCAUAGAACAGGUUCAGGAUACAUCAAAUGAGGUGCCAAGGUAUAGCCAUCUGAUCUAACAUCCAUCAUAGUGGGUGUGCCAGAUAUGAAGAUAGAUACUGACUAUGCAUGAUAGAGGUACACAUUUUUGGUUUCCUAUCGCUCUAUUCUUUAUUUUGCUGUGGGCCAGGUAUUUCUAUUUAUUUUCUCUUUCUCUAAAGUUCUAUGACAAAGUACGUCAAACCAUCCACACAUCUUGCCCUGCUCCUCAGAUCCAUUCUUGCUGUCAAUGCGAGGCAGGAGGAUCAAUUUUGUUUCUUUGUUGAUAUGUCAAUGCGCUCAUCUACUUAUUUGUAAUAUUACCAAGCAAAAUGGUGUUGCAAGGUCAGUAAAAUUUCAACGAAAAAAUCCCAUUCCCAUAAUUCUUAUAGGAUGUCCGCCAUGUUGGUUCAGCGCAAAAUUACUGGCCCUCCAAACAUGGAAACAUGCAAGACUUUCAGCAAACUCUCCUAGCCUCCACCUCCUCCAGGACCUUCCUCUCAUUCCACAAGCAUAACUAUUCUCAAAGUUGAAUUCAAUGAUGCUCUCUAUCAACCUCUCUAAUUGUCCCUUUGCACGUGUUUUUUUCUAAUGUUUGUUCCAUUUAUAGCAUCGAUGUCAACAAUUACUAUUGCAACAUGUACAAUAGGAGGUCGUAUACAUAGGCAACCGCAAAAUUGCAGGAUAAGGUUGCAUAUAUCUGACCCUCCCUAAACCAUGCAAUAGAAGUAGUCGUAUGCACAGGAAAGCCCUUUUUGAAAAAAAUUAAUUGUUGCACUACAUGGGAUGCUAAACUGCACUAUUGGUAAGUAUACCUGGAAAAUUCAGCCCCCCAAUCCACCCCGCUUGAUAUUCGAGCAAGCUUGAGUAUGGUUUCUGGCUCAUCGGUAACAUAGGAUGCAAGCUAACUAGACAUUGUACUAGCUCAACCUAAUCCAAAGUUCAAUUUAUAUAUAAAGCGUUGCAUACAUAUAAUCAUUAUAAUGUCAUCUACUCGUCGACGUGAUAUAUAUCUCAACCUUCUCCCACUCUUACCAAAAAUCCACCCCACUCCACUUCUACACCCUUCCUUUGCCCACCUCCCCCCAUCUACACACAUGACACCAUGGUAUGACCAUCACCUCACCAUUUACAUAUCAAGCCCACCUCCUCUCAUCAUCCACCAGGACUUAAUUGCUAUCCCAUCCAUCCUCCACAUCAUCCAACCAUUGUUGUCAUAACUCUCCAACACAACACAUCGGGAGGACCAAUCUAUACUAAAGGGUUGUUUGAGUCAAGUGAAACCACUACUAUACCUGGAAUUUAACAACAGGACCAGUUAAAGCCAACUUGGAGGCCCUUAGUCCUGACCUCAGGCCAGCAUACACCUAUCUCAGCCUUGUUGAUUCCCAGGUGUACUUAAGGAUAUAGAAUAUUGAGACAAGCUUGGAGAUUCAUAACAUGAAUGUAAAAUCCACAUGAGCAAAAUUCCAUCAAAAGUUUGAUUAUUCAUUUAAAAAAGAGAAUACCAUGUCAAAAUAAAAAAGAAAAAUCUAAAGGAACUUGUAUUUUAUAAAGAUCUGACCUAGCACACUGCACUUGUGCACUGUGCUUCUGGAGAAUCCUUUCCCAGAUCUAAAAUAACCUUUCUUUAAGCUAAAUCAACUUUUCAAGAAAAUCACUUAAGACUUUGUUUAUCAGGAAAGCUUAUAUUACGGAACUCCUUUGUAUUUGUUAUGACUGAUGGAAUUGGCAUUAAUUCAUAAGAACUAAGGAACCAAUAAACUAAUGUUUGUUAAUGCAUAAACCCAUUGGACAGUAUUCAAAUAUGAAAACAAGAAAUCAAUACAGUAUAGUCACACGUUUUACAAAAGAACUGCUAAAAUUACAUUAUGUCAGAAAAAGGAAUAUUGUUGCAUGCAUGAAGUGCAAGGUUUCAUGCUAGUUCUUCAUAUGACUCACUCAAACCAACAAAAAUUAGCAAUACCAGUCAUGGAAGAGUAAGCAAGUGACCACUAAAGAAUUUUAUAGGAUUUAGCAACUGCAGCUAAUUUGCUCUAUAACUAACAUCAUUACUAAUCCAACCAUCAAAAGCUAUAUGAAUAAAAUAUUUUAAAAUUUAAAAAAAAAAAAAACACAUGUGCAUCUAGUGUAUCAUGUUCCACACAAGCAUGUUUCCCUCACAUGUCCAAAAUAAUGUUGUUUUUAUCUCAUAUAACUAAAUAUAAUUCUAGAAUGACUGCAUUCACUUAAUCUAUCUUAUGUUUAGCAACUGGAAGAAUCUUCGCAUGUAACAGAAAUGUAUUUCACAUAUGAAGUCAUCGCAAAGUGUCACAAGUUAAAAUAUAUACAGUAAAAUCUAAAUCUAAGUGUAAAUCAUGCAUCUAAGUCCUCACCUUGCACUAAUUGAUUUAACACCAUAUAUGGCAUCCAUUCAUGCAAAGACAUGCACAUGCAUGUGCACGCCCUCAUGGGGAAAAAAAUGCUAUACUUGCAAACUUGAAUGUAUAUGCAUAUAAUGCAUCCCCAUCCCACUUUGCGAUAAUGGAGCAUAUCAUCAGACACAAGCACAUGUUCAAGCCUGUGUGUGCAUUUACAUGCAUGCAUCCAGGGACUUAGAACCAUCAAACAGCCACAUGCAUAUAGGCACACUCAUACAAACAAGAAAAAAGAAGAUAGAGCAACAUCAAAAACUAAAAAAAGACACGAAGUUGUCAUAAUACUAACAAAUUUCUUUACUAAAACAAUAUUAAUCUCACAGAAAGUAGAAUAUGCAAGGACAAAUAAUGUGCAGUGCUCGAAUAAAAGGUUUCAAAUCUCGACCAUAUUCUUACAUAUCAACCCUGUAUCUACACCAAUAUUGACCUAUAUCAACAUAGGGGUGUCAUCCGAAUCAGCAAACCAUGAGUAGACACAGGGGAGGUACCCUCGUAUAGCACCAAUAUGUAAAUGUCUUGAAGACACACGGCAGAUUUGAAGCCUUGAUUGAAUAUGAUUCUUGUUUAAAGUUAUUCUUGUUGAAGUCAGCUUAAUCCCAACCAUGGGAUGUCAUACCAUACUUUUCACUAAGCGUAUAUAAUAAAAUAGAGUGAAAAGGUCGGUCUCUACUAGUGCAUACCAGGCAUAUCAUAUCAAUACCAAACCAGGACACAAGACAUGGGCCAUACCAAACCGACCCCAUGCCAGGCAAUACCAACAUUGCACCAAGAUGGUAUCGGUACGAGGUCCGAUACCAAGAACCCCAACCAUUCCCUUAAUAAAACAAAAGAAGAGUAAGCAAUUGUUUAUAUCAUAAUUUGCAAAUUGUCUUCUGUGCAUCAGAUACAUUUUUUUGACAUCUCAGCAAAGCCAAUUAGCUACAACUGUGUGCCACACAACAAAAGACACACUGCUCGUUCCUCUUAUUAGUAAAAAAUAAAAAAGUAAAGUAUCAGAUUAUAGACUUACAAGGCCAUUCCUUUAUUAAAAUGCCAUUUUAUCUGGUUAUUCUCAGUUAAAUGCUAUUGAUAUACAUUGUAACUAGAGAA